rnacentral:lncRNA from 10 species
UUCUUUUUUAGUAAAAAGGUAUCUUCUAUUUAUUUUCCUUCUUAGCGUUGUACUUUGAAUAAUUUUGAACAGGUUUUGGAAAUCCUGCAGCCUUCACCCAGCCCCCUAACAAUGGUGUGUCCUGCAGCCUCAUGGGGACUCACACCGUGCAGGGCUAGUGGCCUCACCUGCACCUGCCUUGGCACCUGCCUGGCUGUCUCACGAGUGUCGGUUUUUCCUGUCCAGGGCCCUCCCAAAGCGCCCACGUUGUAUUUCGUUGUCUCCCUGCCUUCCAGUCUCUGCUGCAGUCUUUCAGGACCCGAGCACUUGGGAAGUGUGGGCAGGCAUUUUGUAGACUCCCCCUCAAUUUUGGUUUGCCUGAUAUUUUCUCGUGAUUAAACUGCAAUUAUGCAUUCUGGCAAGAACACGGAAGAGAUCUGGCCUCCUCUGCAUCAAAUCAGGAUGUAGGUGGUGUCUACCAGGUCUCUUCACUGUAGAGUUACUGUUUUCUUUGGUGUAAUGAGUAUCUUGCGGGGACACAAUGAGAAUAUCCUCUCAAGAACCCACUAACUUUAGUUUCCGUCGACGAAUCAGCAGUUAUUGGUAUUUGCCUAAUGGUGACUUUGUGUUUUUUUUUUGUUUUGUUUUUGAGACAAAUAACCGUCACCACCACCGGGACCCAGGGCUGGCCGUGCACACAGCUGUUGGAGGAUCAUUGCUUCCAGGCCCUUUUGUUGAGUGGCACUUGGAAAGACACACUCCCCCAUGCACAGCUCCGGCUCAAACCGCGACUCACUGCUAACCCAAACCCAGCAAGCCCACGGCUUCGUGCUAGCCUUCCUUGUGACUGUCCAG